UGAGGAAUAUUGGUCAAUGGGCGAGAGCCUGAACCAGCCAAGUCGCGUGAGGGAAGACGGUCCUAUGGNUUGUAAACCUCUUUUGCCGGGGAGCAAAGAGCGGCACGUGUGCCGCGCCGAGAGUACCCGGAGAAAAAGCAUCGGCUAACUCCGUGCC
rnacentral:rRNA from 1 species